rnacentral:lncRNA from 1 species
UGCAUGUCAGCAUCUGUAUAUAAAAAUAAAGUCAACUCGAUGCAUACGGAUAAUAUUCAAAAGCAAUCUGCAAUAUACCCAACAACCAGACAGGUUUAUGUAUAAAGGACCAACACUGAAAAGUAUGAUGUUAAAAUGUUAUAAGCAGGAAAGGGACAUUUGAAGGGCAAUUAGCCUUUUCCUUAAUUCAUUAUCGUUAAGUAACCAGGGAUGAAGUGGAGCACAUACAGAAAACAUGCAUCCUGAUAAAACAGUAUCUCGCCCUCUCCACCAGGCCAGCCUCCUCUCUCACUGGCUCCCUCCCAUCUGGGAGAUCUCUGAGUGGUCUGGGAGCUCUCUGAGUGGUCUGGGAGCUCUCUGAGUGGUCUGGGAACUCUCUGAGUGGUCUGGGAACUCUCUGAGUGGUCUGGAACUCUCUGUGUGGUCUGGAACUCUCUGAGUGGUCUGGAACUCUCUGAGUGGUCUGGAACUCUCUGAGUGGUCUGGAACUCUCUGAGUGGUCUGGAACUCUCUGUGGUCUGGAACUCUCUGUGUGGUCUAGGAGCUCUCUGAGUGGUCUGGGAGCUCUCUGAGUGGUCUGGGAGCUCUCUGAGUGGUCUGGGAGCUCUCUGAGUGGUCUGGGAGCUCUCUGAGUGGUCUGGGAGCUCUCUGAGUGGUCUGGGAACUCUCUGAGUGGUCUGGGAGCUCUCUGAGUGGUCUGGAACUCUCUGAGUGGUCUGGAACUCUCUGAGUGGUCUGGAACUCUCUGAGUGGUCUGGAACUCUCUGAGUGGUCUGGAACUCUCUGUGGUCUGGAACUCUCUGAGUGGUCUGGAACUCUCUGAGUGGUCUGGAACUCUCUGAGUGGUCUGGAACUCUCUGAGUGGUCUGGAACUCUCUGAGUGGUCUGGAACUCUCUGUGGUCUGGAACUCUCUGAGUGGUCUGGAACUCUCUGUGUGGUCUGGGAGCUCUCUGAGUGGUCUGGAACUCUCUGAGUGGUCUGGGAACUCUCUGUGGUCUGGAACUCUCUGUGGUCUGGAACUCUCUGAGUGGUCUGGGAGCUCUCUGAGUGGUCUGGGAGCUCUCUGAGUGGUCUGGGAGCUCUCUGAGUGGUAUGGGAGCUCUCUGAGUGGUCUGGAACUCUCUGAGUGGUCUGGGAACUCUCUGAGUGGUCUGGAACUCUCUGAGUGGUCUGGAACUCUCUGAGUGGUCUGGAACUCUCUGUGGUCUGGAACUCUCUGAGUGGUCUGGGAACUCUCUGAGUGGUCUGGGAACUCUCUGAGUGGUCUGGGAACUCUCUGAGUGGUCUGGAACUCUCUGUGUGGUCUGGAACUCUCUGAGUGGUCUGGAACUCUCUGUGGUCUGGAACUCUCUGAGUGGUCUGGGAACUCUCUGUGGUCUGGGAGCUCUCUGAGUGGUCUGGGAACUCUCUGAGUGGUCUGGGAGCUCUCUGAGUGGUCUGGGAACUCUCUGAGUGGUCUGGGAACUCUCUGAGUGCGGGCACAUGUCUAGUGGUUAAGCGUGUUGGGCCAGUAACCGAAAAGUCACUGGUUCGAAUUCCAGUGAAAGAUCUGUUGAUGUGCCCUUUAGCAAGGCACUUAACCCUGAUUGCUCCUGUAAGGUGCUCUGGAUAAGAGCGUCAGCUAAAUGACUCAAAUGUUAAAUGUAAAUGUGUCUCUUCAGCACAGCCUCCCUGUUGAGCCAAGUGGGGGCUAUAUGUCUCUUCAGCACAGCCUCCCUGUGGAGUCAAGUGGAGGCUAUGUGUCUCUUCAGCACAGCCUCCCUGUGGAGCCAAGUGGAGGCUAUAUGUCUCUUCAGCACAGCCUCCCUGUGGAGCCAAGUGGAGACUAUGUGUCUCUUCAGCACAGCCUCCCUGUGGAGCCAAGUGGAGGCUAUGUGUCUCUUCAGCACAGCCUCCCUGUGGAGCCAAGUGGAGGCUAUAUGUCUCUUCAGCACAGCCUCCCUGUGGAGCCAAGUGGAGACUAUGUGUCUCUUCAGCACAGCCUCCCUGUGGAGCCAAGUGGAGGCUAUAUGUCUCUUCAGCACAGCCUCCCUGUGGAGCCAAGUGGAGGCUAUGUGUCUCUUCAGCACAGGCUCCCUGUGGAGCCAAGUGGAGGCUAUAUGUCUCUUCAGCACAGCCUCCCUGUGGAGCCAAGUGGAGGCUAUGUGGCUCUUCAGCACAGCCUCCCUGUGGAGCCAAGUGGAGGCUAAUUGCUAGUAGAUGAGGUUGAUGGGCACAUGUAAGAUGAGGGCCAUGAGGACAGCUCUCAAUAGCAGUGAAAGUGAGGAAUUCACCUACACAUGGAACCAGGAGAAGCACAUUCUUGACAAAUGCACUCAAACUGCCAAAGAGUGGCUGGUCUGAGAAGAAAUGACUUGCUGUCUUCCUGAAGCCCUGUGUGUGCUGUCCUGUAGCUGAGAGCAAAUAAAAGCAAAGUGCAGCACUAUCCAUUGGAGAUUAUGACAGCAGCAUAUACUGUAGGCCUAUAUCAUAUUACCCUGACCAUACACUCAGCCAUUCUCUCUCAGAACUGAUCAAUAUUGUGAUCUAAAGCCAACGUUGACUCUCCCGAGUGGCGCAGCGGUCUAAUGCACUGAAUCACAUUGCUUGAGGCGUCACUACAGACCCGAGUUCGAUGCCAGGCUGG